GCAGUCGAGCGGACAGAUGGGAGCUUGCUCCCUGAUGUUAGCGGCGGACGGGUGAGUAACACGUGGGUAACCUGCCUGUAAGACUGGGAUAACUCCGGGAAACCGGGGCUAAUACCGGAUGGUUGUUUGAACCGCAUGGUUCAAACAUAAAAGGUGGCUUCGGCUACCACUUACAGAUGGACCCGCGGCGCAUUAGCUAGUUGGUGAGGUAAUGGCUCACCAAGGCAACGAUGCGUAGCCGACCUGAGAGGGAAAUCGGUCUAACUGGGACUGAGACACGUCCCAGACUCCUACGGGAGGCGGCAGUAGGGAAUCUUCCGCAAUGGACGAAAGUCUGACGGAGCAACGCCGCGUGAGUGAUGAAGGUUUUCGGGAUCGUAAAGCUCUGUUGUUAGGGAAGAACAAGUACCGUUCGAAUAGGGCGGUACCUUGACGGUACCUAACCAGAAAGCCACGGCUAACUACGUGCCAGCAGCCGCGGUAAUACGUAGGUGGCAAGCGUUGUCUGGAAUUAUUGGGCGUAAAGGGCUCGCAGGCGG
rnacentral:rRNA from 1 species